rnacentral:rRNA from 1 species
UAAAGUGGCGUACGGGUGAGUAACACGUGGAUCAUCUACCCUCUAGUGGGGGAUAACCCUGGGAAACCGGGGCUAAUACCGCAUAAGCUCGAGAGAGGAAAGCAGCAAUGCGCUGGAGGAGGAGUCCGCGGCCGAUUAUUGCUAGUUGGUAGGGUAAAAGCCUACCAAGGCUACGAUCGGUAGCCGGCCUGAGAGGGCACACGGCCACACUGGCACUGAAACACGGGCCAG